AGAAAUGGAGUUUAUUCUUCCUCUGAUCUCUCAUGGUCCUUUUCUACAUCUACACAGAAGGCCCUGACUUUGAAACCUGGCUUUCAUUCCUUGAGAUAUUUGCCAAGUGGACCCCUUCCAGCCUCUCUUUCUUUGUCUAUAGUGUGAUGAGGCAACAUCACAUCUUUCCAUGUCUACCAUAACUAGUUUUGGGGUUCUCAGGUUCAGGGCCCUGGCUUUCUGAAGGAAAAGACUUUAUGAAAAAAAGCUCACUGCUGAUCGGGUACCAUCAUGGACUCAGUCCACCACAUGCUUUGGAAAUGUGGUAUCUAUUGUAGGCACACACUUGGGGCUCUUCCCUUCCUGGUUUUUGGGAAGUCCUGUCCAGCUCUGCUCUCAAGUAAUAAUCUUGCUUCAUCAAAAGGAAGGAGAAGUGGUUUUCUGUCUUCCGGGACCCCAUCCCAUCAGCAGUUCCUGCCUCUGCUUCUUUCCUGGUGGCCCCACAUCUCUGUUUCCUACUGUCUUUUUUCUCUAACUUCCUUGGGUCUUAUCUUGGGACAUUGAGUUUUCUUUUCUUAUUCGAUUUUGACGUCUCCCACAUCCUUUCCCAACGACCAAGUCCAGGUACUAAAAGACCAGGUCUGACCAUGCUCCUCUUCAACUUAAAUGUAGCCAGGAACAACUCCCUGUCAGCUUCAGGAUUGUAACCACACCUCUUGAUAUACUGUUUAUGGCUUCCAUCAACAUCAUCCUAUCCAUGAAUCCAACCUGAUCACCUUUGACACCCCCACCACACCCCCAGUGUCAGGUGCUGGUCCUCAAAAUCAGGUUUCAUGUCUUGUGUUUUCAACUCCCAGUUUCUCUCUUUGACUUCUGUGGUUUGAUCCUGUCAUUUUGUGUUUAUGCUGAAGAAGUCUGUGUGCUCUGGUCUGAGUUCAACCUCACCUCCAUCCCACUCUGUGGCUGUCAACAUACUUCUCCCCUCUCUGCCAGCUUUUGGUCAGUAUUUGAACCAAUUUUUAGCCUCUCUGUGCCUUAAUGAUAAUCUUUUUUCCUCCUCCUUCUUCUAUUAAAAUUAUUUUGUGUUUUUGAGAUAGGGUCUCACUUUGAAGCCCAGGCUGGCUUCUUCCUCCAUUUCAGGAAUGCUUGAAUUACAAAUUUGAGCCUCCAUAUCAGAUCAAAGUCGUCUUAUGGAUAGCAUAAUUGGAUCUUGUUUUUAACCAUUCAGCUAGUCUUUAUUUGAUUGGACAAUUUAAUCUAUUUAUAUUUAAUGUAAUCACUGAUCGGUCAGGACUUAAUGUUGCAAUUCUGUUGUUUUCCUAGCUGCUUUGUGGUUUCAUUAAUCCCUUCCUACAGUCUUCUUUGUGAUUCUAUGAUAUGUAUUUAUUUGUGUGCUUUGCUUUUCUCUCUCUCUCUCUAAGGAUCUAACCACUGUGGAAUUUUUCUUUGUAUUUCCUGUGAAGUUUACACCAAGCAUCUUAUCAUAAAGUCUGUUUUAAGUUGAUGACAGCUUCAACUACAUACAGAAAAGCCACACUUCUUUCCCACUACAUGUUACGUUAUUAGUGUUAUGAUUUCUACUAUUGCAUAUCUACUAGCAAACAAAUAAUGCUAUAGUUAUGUUAUAUUUCAGUCUUGAAGACUGUGUCCUUGAAUUGAAAGUAACUUACAUACCACCAUUGCAGUAUUUUUCUGAACUUGACCAUUUCCUUGCUUUUAUUGUGAGUUCUGCAUGCAUGUGUCUUUGUGCUAUUAGUGAGUGCCCCUUUAUUUAAACUUGAAGGACUUCCUUUAAUGCUUCUUUUAAGACAAGCCUUGUGCUGUACAGCCCCCUCAUCUAUUCUCUGUCUAGGAAUGCUUUUCUGUGCCCUCCAUCUCUGAAAGAUAGCUUUCAGGUAUUUGAUUGACAGUUAUUCUUUCAGUACUUUGAAUAUAUCGUCCCACUCUCUUUUAAUUUUCAGGAUUUCUGCUGAUAAAUCUGCAGAUGUUCUUAUGACAGUUCACCUGUAUAUAACAAGUUAGCUUUCUCUUACUGCUGUCAGACUUCUAUGUCUUUGGCUUCUGAGAAUUUGAUUAUAAUGUGUCUCAGUAGAGAUGUCUUCACAAUAACCAGAUUGGGGUUCUCUGGGACUCAGCUUGAUGUUUAUUUCCUUUUCCAGCUAUGAAAUGUUUUCUAUGAGUCUUUUUCUCUUUCAACAAGCUGUUAUCAGCCCCUUCUAUCUUUUACUUGAUGGUGUACUAGAAGGUUUUUGUAUUUUACUCUUUUAUUGUUUUGUUCCCAGCUAAUUUAAAAUGACCCGUCUGAGCUUGCUGAUUCCUUUUUUUAGUUAGUCAAGUCUGCUGUAGAAGCUACCUAUGAAAUUUUUAGUUUGGUCAUUGUAAAUUGGUGUCAAAAUUUCUGUUUUGUUCUUUUUUUUUUAAUGGUUUUUGUCUUUGUUUACUUUUGUUCAUGUGCUAUUUUCUGAUAUCAUGCAGUAAUAUAUCUAUAUUGUUUUAUGCUUCACAGAACUUCUUCAAGACAGUUAUUUUGGGUUCUUCAGGCAAUUCAUGAAUAUCCAAUUCCUUGCGAUUUGUUUCUUUAAUGGUCUCUCUGACUGUUCAUGAUCCUGUGGUCUUAUGUUGAUAUGAGUCCAUUUGAAGAAGUAAGCACACUUACAUUCUUCAUAGAUUAGCUAUAGCAAAGCAAGUCAUCCGCCGGUCAGCUCACCCACAUCCAGAGUUUGGGUGGGCUGACUGAUAAAGUCUCUGAGUAGGAUUACUGCUGGAACCGUGAAUAUGAUAGGAUGCCCUGGUGCCUAGAUCAUUGGGUAGGUGGGCCUGUGUCUUGAGUUUGUAGGGGCCAUGCUAGAGCCUGGAGUCAUUUGGAUAAGCCCAGAGCUUAGGUCUCUGUGCCUAAGCCCAAUGUCUGGGGUCAGUGGGUGGAGUCUAAGACCUGGAUCCAUGAGUGUAAACUAAAUUCUGAGUCUGUGAGGGUUUAUUCUCUACUGAACUUCACCAGGGGUUUUUCAUUGACUGUAACCUAAAGCCUAGAUUUGUAGAACUUGGCCUGAGAGUGGAAUUCAUUAGGGUAGGCCUGAGGUUGGAGUCUGUGUCAAACACAAUGUUCCUUACUCUCUUUCCUCCAAAUGAAGGGCAACUCUUUCCAGAGUCAUGAGGAGGAAGGCUGAUGUGGGACAGUAUAGAGCUAUCUCUCAUACCAUUUAAAAUAUGUCUUCUUUUUUUUUUUUUUCCUGUUCCACCCAGAUGCUGCAACCUUUCUCUUGGGUUCCUUAGCCUUUUUGGUUAAAUGUUGUUCAAAUUCAUCUUCCUGUGAUGAACAGACGCUGAAAUUCCUAUUCUUCAUCUUGAUGAUGCCAUUUUUGUCUUCACAGCAUCAUCUACAAGGAUAUAGUCAUUUGCUUUUGUUUCAUUCCUGUCUUCCUCCAUUACAUUUCAACUUUGGAAAGGAUAAAGUCAAUUUUGACUACUGCAGUCAUAGCAACAAAACACAACACAACAGCACUGUUUCCAUACUAUGUUCUGGGCACUAUUGUAAAUUCUUUAUUUUCACCGAAGUAUUUUAUCCUCAUAAGACUGUUGAGUAUUGUUACUAUUGCCAUAUUUAUUUUACAGAUGAACAAACUUAGCAAGAGAGGUUAACUGCUGUAUUCCAUCUUCCAGUCUAGAUGGGAAAUGGUAAAAGUAAGCUUCAGAUGCUCAAGAUGACUCCAGGAUGCUUACUCUUAAGCCCUCAACUAUGUUUUUGUGACUUCUCAGCAGCAGCUACUUUGCAAGCAGCUAAUACAGGAAUCAAAGGGCCCUCUCUCUUUCAGUCUCCGCACUGGAUGCAGAGUUGGAGCCUGGUAAAAUAUACGGAACCAGAGUUUGGGAAUCCAGCCAUCCUGGGUUCUUUAGCUGGUGACUGUAAGCAAACUAACUUCACCUAGCAUUGGCCAACAUGGCAACAAAUGCUACUUAUCCUGCACAGGAUGUUUGUGAGCUGAAUUGAAGGGUUACGGUAUGUGAGCAAAGAAUGCCAAUUGCCCUUUUGGAGUUCUCAUUUUUAAGUAAAAUGAUACCACAUCCUUCACUGAAUCAAAAGAAGACUACCUGGGGUAGGAUGGCCUUCACUCAGAUUGACAGGGAACAGGAAUAAGGUCCAGUUGCUGUAGGACUCACAGGGGAUUCCCUGCCCUCUGGUUCAGGCUUAGGACUUAAGUCACAUUAACCACUGACUUUGUUUGUAGGACCAAGUAUGUAUAGACUUGGGGGAUCCCUGACCCCACCCCCAGUAUUUAAGGUCUCUGGGUAGUUUUGGUUCUGGGACUGUUCUCCAGACACUGGCUGCUUUCUCCUGUGGAGCCACUGCUGCCUCCUGCCCCUGGCUUUCCCGCCCUGUCAGCCUUCUAUGGAGGCCCCAGAUGUGUUUUUUGAUCUCUUCCAGGAAAUCCAACUAGGUGCUCUGAAAUACUGUUUCUCAGUAAUGCUUCUUUCUGAGGAUUACUUCACUCUCGUCUUCAUUUCUUUCUACAUCUGCUCGCCAGUGCUCAGGGACAGCUCUGCUUCUCCCCAUAACUCUCAUUUUCUUCCUCAACUUUUCCUCACCGCCUUACCUCAUUCUGGUCUCCGGCUGUCAAAGGAACAGACGUGCUGGCCUCUUAUAAAGCAGCCUCCCUUAGCAGCAGAUUCAGUCCCCGAAGAUGGGGAAGAAGGACAUUUGGCCUUGUGACAGCCAUGGAUAGCUGACUCAGCCUGGGUGCUGGACUUGCUGUACAAUCAUCCCUGGAAAGCCACAGAACCUUCUUGGCCCCAGGCCUGGAAGAGAGAAUGUGGCCUCACUGAAAGCAACAGCUCAAGCUGGCUGCCUUUCCAUUGGUUUGCUCUCUCUUGGAGUGUUGUUCCUUUGCUUCUGAGAAUCUUUGCAGCCCAGAGCAAUGCACCCUGCCCAGACACAAUAACGUUUAGUGUCAUACAGACUUAACUGUACUCACCAGCAGAUGUAAGUUCUUAAACAUCAUUCUAAAGCUACCUACUUGCUUCUGUCUUAGUUUCUUCGUCUAUUGCAUUGAUGAAAAUGCUCGGGCACAACUCAUUUACUAGACAGAGGGUUUAUUUAAAUCACAGUUCAGGGUCACAGUCCAUGAAAGGAUGGAAUCCCAGCAAUGAGAGCUUGAGGCAUCAACUGACCAUAUGGCAUCUACUGUCAAGAAAUAGGGAGUGGUGAAUGCUUCAUGUAGCUUGCAUUCUCUCCUAUUCAGUCCUGGAUUCUGACCCAUAGUAACUGUGCCACCCACAAUAGAUGGAUCACCACGCCACAAUUAAUCUAAUCAAGUUAAUUCACUACAGGUAUGCCCGGAGCCUAUUUUCUUGGUGAUUCCAGGUCUUGUGAAGUUGACCAUUAAGACUGACCAUCGGAAGUUCCGGUCCUAGCUCCCUUGUGUACUAGUGGUAUGAUUUGGGGGAAAUUCUGAGUGAUUCUGUUCUGUUUUCCUCAUCCGUAACAAUAGGAUGUUGAUUGUCUUUGGUAGCUUGAACUACUUGUUACAAUUCUGUAACCCUCCCUUAGAAAACUAUGCAUUCACCCCUUUGCCAUGAUCACAUAGCACAUUUGGAUAGAACGGACUUUUAUUCCUGGACUUUGGACUUGGCCAUGUGACUUCUUGUGCUCUCUGGGAAGUUCUUGGUCUUAUCACCCAAGUGGAGAAUGGAAUGUGUGGAAAUUUGCUCUUGUAACUCUCAUGAUCCUGGUAACACUGUUCCUUUGGUGAUGGGAGUGUGAUAUAGAUGCAGAAUCAUGUUCCCACAAGCACUGCUUACAUCAGCCAACACCUAGCUGACCAGCUGACAGGAGAGUGAAGAAUAAGCUCUUGUUAUCUAUCAUAUGCCCUUGAAUGUCUUGUUCCCCUCUUCCCACCUCCCUAGUGCUGGGAUUACACAUGUGUACCACUAUGCUCAGUUAUUUGGUUCUGGGGAUUAAGCUCAGGGCUCUAUGCAUGAUGCUCUACCAACUGAUUCACCCUGCUCCCAGCACUUCACUCUUUCUUUUAUUUGAAAGCCCUUCUGAUGGUAACUUGGACCACCAAAAUAAUCUAGAAUCAUCUAUUUAUUUAAAAUUAAUCAGCAACUCCAAUUCAAUUUGCAGCCUCAAUUCCCUUCUUGGGAUUGAGGCUUGAGGGAUUGGAGCAUGGGCAUUGUUACAGGCCAUCAGUUUAUCUACUACAGCCCACAUUAGACACACACAGUACUAUAUUUCUAUUGAUCCAUACUGGUAUUAUAAACCCUAGUAUGUUAUCUGUGACAGGAAAAUGAGGUGGCCUGUCCUCUGACGUUGGCACCACCUCCUCUUUCAGAGGGGUUUGUUUUCUGAAAAUGGUGCUGUCCCUUGCUGGUGGACUACCAGCAGUGGGUUUAUGAGAUAGAACAAAGUAGUGUAAGAUUCUUAGAUGCCUUAAUACAGAGCUGAGACUCUUCUGAUUGAUGAUAAUUGUCCUGAGUAAUAGUUGUGAUGGGUGUCUUGCUGUUCCUAUCUCCCUUGGUAGGUAAAACUGUACCAGUCUGCCUAACUCCCUUGGGAGGUAGACUGAUUGAGCCAACUCAGAGGGGCCACAGGACAAGGCUAGGACAGCCCACUUCUAUCUCCCCAAGCCAAUCUGACUCUGUCCUUGCAGCCACAGGACCCUCAGAUCUCCCCACACACAAUGCAUUACAGGGAAAAAGAAACUUCCUGGCCUGACUGAUACCAAUUUGAAGGAAAUAGCUGGCUUUCAUGGGGCAAUGAAACAAAAUCCAGCAAGAGUGAUAACCUUUUGCUGGUCUGAGUUUUGCUGAGUAGCUAGCUGAAGCAUGACUACAGAAGACAUUGAGAUUUGGGGCAAGGAUGUGAAUUCUGGGGUGCUGUGUUAGCCAUUCACGAGUGAAGAAAGGGGGAGGAGAGCCAGGAUCUAGGGAUUCCUAGACUUGUGAGGUCCCAUCACAGGCUUACUGCAUUGCGACUAGAAAGUAGAUCUGUACUUCUGGGUUCUGGUAGCUGCCUUACCUGUUUAGCUGGCCUUUGCCAUUGACCAGUAAAUGACCUUAAGCUAAGUUCUCAUUUCUUCCAUGCCUGGGGCUCCCUACCUGAGAUAUGGGGUUAUGCUAGCAUUAACUGAAAAAGAUGUGAGUGUGUGUGUGUAUUUGUGUGUGAGUGUGUGCACAUGCACAUGUGUGCAGAUAGUCAGAUACACAUGUGUAUCAUAUGUGUAUAUUUAUUGUGUUUACUGUAUAGUUCAUAAGGUUAUUUCUCUGUUUAUGAUAUACUCACAGCCUGAAGAGAAGUCUCAUUAUGCCUUACUGUGGGCUCAUCCCAGUGUUCUUUAAGAAAAUUUUCUGAUUGGGGAUGUGCUCAGUAGAGUCUUGAAUGGUGGUUUCCUGAGACUACCUACCACCCAGUAGCCACAUAAGAGACUCCCAAGCCUGCCUUUGUGAAAGUGUCUGAAAAAGAUCACAACCUAUACCAUACAAGUUCCUCCUGUGUCCAAUCUAGGCCCUUAAUAACUGAAAUCAAAUGUAGACUCUAAUAUUUCACAGUUCAGAGGGAUUUUGGUGGGAAUUCAUUCCAUGCCACUUCUCUCCUGGUGGCCUGAGAUCCCUGCCCCUGCACCUAUUCAUUUUCCUCCACAGGAAAAUCUGAUAUACUCUGUCCAUGUGUAGACAGGAGCUCGCUGGGUACAGGAUGCCGACAUUUCUUGUUUGGUCAGUCUACCCUGCUUUCCUUCAUCCUUGUAAGAGUCAAACAUCCUCACCUUGCCCUUCCGGCUAAGGGUAGUGAGACCACCAAGGCCCCUCUGUUCAGAAUGGGCCUCUUCCCCCAUGGCACAGCUUCUCAAUGUUUUGUAAUUUCCCCAUGGCAUUCCCAGAAGAACAAGCUGGCCUUCCUCUGACUGUUUAUUGAGCAGAUUAUCUACUGCUGUCCCUGCUGCUGUGGAGGGAUGCUAUUGAUCCUGAAGCCAGGAACCAGCAAAUAACUUUCAAAAGGGCACAGAGCUGGACUGACACUCUAGCCCGCCCCAACACCUUUCCUCUCUACUGCUCCAGGGGCUGGAACGAUAAAGCCACAGAGGCCCUAAAGACUUCUCACUCAUGUGUGUGAACAAAACGCUGCAGAGAAAUUGUUUCCAAUUUAAAAUGUACAGUUCAGCCUUGGGGUUAUAAACAAGAGCCAGAAAGUCAUAAGCUGCCUUGGUGCAGUCAGCAUCCAGAAGCACAUGAAGUGGCCUGUGCUCUCCCUUCAAGGUGUGGGGACCUGAAAACCUGCUGCUCGGUAUUUCUCUGUACCACACUCCAUGUUGUAAACAUGUUUUCUACCCUGCAUUUUAGUAUCCAUCACAAUUUAAAUUCCUUCUUGGUAGCCUUUCAGAAAGGGGUUGGGAUCUAGAUACUAAAUCCUCCUGUCUUGUGGAUGGGGAAGGAUACAGUUGGCAGGAUGAUUUUUGAACUCAAGUUUACUCUCACAGCUCCUGUAACAGGUUACCCCCUCCCACCUUCCAACUUGUGUUAAAGAAAAUCUUCUGCCCAGCUGCAAAUCAAUUCCCUAGUCUCCUUAAGUAUGAUGGGAGUCCCCCUAUUUAGUAUGAUGGGUAGACAAGGGUAUGGAAACCUAAUCCACACUCAAGUCAUAGGGUAAGACCGCACAGCUCCUUGAGAUCUGGUGGUCCCCUCUCCAUGUGAGUACCUUAUAAAUGCAGCAUCUGUACUCUUGGGUGGAUGAUGUUUUGCCUGAUGAGCCUUUCUUCCAAAUCAGGAAUGUUUCUGUCCCAUCUGCCAGGAUUCUUCAGUGUGUAACCAGACUUGCAAUGCAUCCUUUAGAAAGAUACAUAGACAAGUAAAUUAAUACAGAACAAUCCCCACUUACCAGUCAAACCACAUGUACCUGUUACUUUAUACUGUCUUGACACAACCUAGAGUCACCUUGGAAGAGGGAGCCAGAUCAGAUUAGUCUGUGACAAUCUUAAGACAAGAGAAAUUGUCUUGAUCAAUGACUGACAUGGGAGGGCACAUGGUCCCUGGGUAGGUGGCCUGGGUUGUAUAGGAAAGCCAACUGAGCAGUAUUCUUCUACAGUUUCUCCUUUAGAUUCCUGCCUUGGCUUCCCUUGAUGAUGGACUGUAACCUAUAAAAUGAAAUAAAUCAUUUCCUCCUAGAAGUUGCUUUGGGUCGUGUUUUAUCACAGCAACAGAUGACAAACAAGAGUACCACUUUAAGAGCACUGAAUACCCGGAGAGCAGUUUGCCCUCUUUGGAUGAAACACAUCUACUUAGAGAUGCCAAGUAACUCAACAGAAGUCACACAGCUGCUAAAUAGCAAAGACGGAAGUCUUCAGGCUGGAGGCAAUUCUAUAAGACAGUUGAGCCCUCCAGAGCUAGUGGGAGACUGAUGGACUUACACAGGAGAUAGAUCCAGCCAUGAUAUUGUCUUGAAGAGAAUGAUACAUUCUUUCCAGAAGACAUAGAAGAUUCCUGAAACUGGGAAAUGUGCCUGGAAAUGUGGAGAAGAGAGAAGAGAGCACCCCCCCUCCCCUGCCUGGGCAUCUCCUACUAUACUCAAUACUUUCAACCGGGGUCACGGCUGAGCUCUCCUCUUUCAAUCUGGGUUUGAUGGAAUAUUAGUCUGGAAACGUUACUUUCAAUUAAACUCACUUGUUGAACCGC